UGGGGAAUAGUCGAACUGGUAAGACGGCUGACUCUGGAUCAGUUGAUACGGGUUCAAAUCCUGUUUCCCCAGCCA
rnacentral:tRNA from 1 species